UACGGAGGGUGCAAACGUUGCUCGGAAUCAUUGGGCGUAAAGCGCACGUAGGCGGUCCGGCAAGUCGGGUGUGAAAGCCCUCGGCUUAACCGAGGAAGUGCAUUCGAAACUACCGGACUUGAGUACUGAAGAGGGUCGCGGAAUUCCCGGUGUAGAGGUGAAAUUCGUAGAUAUCGGGAGGAACACCAGUGGCGAAGGCGGCGACCUGGGCAGAUACUGACGCUGAGGUGCGAAAGCGUGGGGAGCGAACAGG
rnacentral:rRNA from 1 species